rnacentral:rRNA from 1 species
GAUGAACGCUGGCGGCGUGCCUAAUACAUGCAAGUCGAGCGAACGGACGAGAAGCUUGCUUCUCUGAUGUUAGCGACGGACGGGUGAGUAACACGUGGAUAACCUACCUAUAAGACUGGGAUAACUUCGGGAAACCGGAGCUAAUACCGGAUAAUAUUUUGAACCGCAUGGUUCAAAAGUGAAAGACGGUCUUGCUGUCACUUAUAGAUGGAUCCGCGCUGCAUUAGCUAGUUGGUAAGGUAACGGCUUACCAAGGCAACGAUGCAUAGCCGACCUGAGAGGGUGAUCGGCCACACUGGAACUGAGACACGGUCCAGACUCCUACGGGAGGCAGCAGUAUGGAAUCUUCCGCAAUGGGCGAAAGCCUGACGGAGCAACGCCGCGUGAGUGAUGAAGGUCUUCGGAUCGUAAAACUCUGUUAUUAGGGAAGAACAUAUGUGUAAGUAACUGUGCACAUCUUGACGGUACCUAAUCAGAAAGCCACGGCUAACUACGUG